GCAACAUAAUUCCGAAUCCUCCACAUCGCACCUCGUGACGUCACUACCAAGCAAACAGCUCACUCUAACUUAUGAACCAAUAAAAAUUUGCCUUUCCGAAUUGGAGGCGUUAUCAAAUGAUAUGUUCGGAAACGGGGAUAGGUAUUUUUUAAAUAAAGGUAGUCACUUCGCAGCACAACCUUGCACUCGUAUUAUAUAUUUCCCAAAGAAGAUAACCACACGCACAGAGCUGAUAAAGAUCAAGAUAUGGUUUAUCGGAAAUUCUAGCGGUUUGUGAAUAUUUCGUGAAAAAAUAAGAGAAAAUAAACAGCGUAUUUUUGUCUUCGUAAGCAGAUAGGAAGUUGAAGUAAACAGAGAAAUUGAAAGUAAUCCAAAGGAUUAUCCAAAGAAACAGUUCAACAUGAGCCUUUAUCACGCACUUAUCUUCAGUUUAAUGGCCAUAGCGUCCAUAUGCUGCAUGGUAGAAGCUCUGAGAUUUGGCAGGAACGAAAUGCGUUGCUCCGCACUCUGCAUGGAUAAGGACAGCGAUGACUGUAAAACCUGCCAGAACAGAACACCAAUGAGAUUUGGCAAAAGGAGCGAAGAUUUGUCAUCACCUGUGGGCUAUCUGUAUGAGCUAGAAAGAAAAGCUAAGCCUGAAUUUCGAAUUCUGGCUCUUAUUAAAGAGAGAGAAUUUGAUUCCAGUUACAGCGAUGAAAAAUAAUGCACAAAAUAUGUUGCAAGUCUCACAUCAGUUUUUUUCUUUGUCUUGAAAAAGACAGAUUUUAGUUUUAUCCACAAAUUAAAGGCACUUUUAUGAUUUGUUAAAAUUAGAGUUCGAGUAUCAGUGUCAGUUUUGUCAAUAAAAUGUUUUAUUUCUCA